UACGGAGGGUGCGAGCGUUGUCCGGAAUCACUGGGCGUAAAGAGCGCGUAGGCGGCCAGAUAAGUCCGGUGUGAAAGUCACAGGCUCAACCUGUGAAUGCCGCUGGAAACUGUCUGGCUAGAGUCCGGAAGGGGCGAGUGGAAUUCCUGGUGUAGCGGUGAAAUGCGCAGAUAUCAGGAGGAACACCAAUGGCGAAGGCAGCUCGCUGGGACGGUACUGACGCUGGAGGCGCGAAAGCCGUGGGGAGCAAACAGG
rnacentral:rRNA from 1 species